rnacentral:rRNA from 1 species
AUUGAACGCUGGCGGCAGGCCUAACACAUGCAAGUCGAGCGGAUGAAGGGAGCUUGCUCCUGGAUUCAGCGGCGGACGGGUGAGUAAUGCCUAGGAAUCUGCCUGGUAGUGGGGGAUAACGUCCGGAAACGGGCGCUAAUACCGCAUACGUCCUGAGGGAGAAAGUGGGGGAUCUUCGGACCUCACGCUAUCAGAUGAGCCUAGGUCGGAUUAGCUAGUUGGUGGGGUAAAGGCCUACCAAGGCGACGAUCCGUAACUGGCCUGAGAGGAUGAUCAGUCACACUGGAACUGAGACACGGUCCAGACUCCUACGGGAGGCAGCAGUGGGGAAUAUUGGACAAUGGGCGAAAGCCUGAUCCAGCCAUGCCGCGUGUGUGAAGAAGGUCUUCGGAUUGUAAAGCACUUUAAGUUGGGAGGAAGGGCAGUAAGUUAAUACCUUGCUGUUUUGACGUCACCAACAGAAUAAGCACCGGCUAACUUCGU